ACAGGACUGACAUUUCCCAAAAUCCUUCUAGCCCUCCUUAUAGACUAGGGACAACCCUAUCCCUCUCACCUCAUCUUACCUCAGUCCUCCAUCCCGUUGUUCCCAAUAAAUCCCCUUACUUGAGAAAGGAAGAGAAAAGAAUGUUUCCUCAUAAACCUCAGAGUCCACUCAGGGGAGAGAGGUGAAGCCAAAGACUUCAGAAGAAGGGUGGUGAAGGGUGAUAUUGAGGGAGGAGGAGGGUAGGAAAAAUAUUAUUCUAUUAGCCAUCAGUAGUGAUCAAUAGGCAACUCCAGAGUAUCCCCUCUAGUAGCAUCUCUCUAUCUCUCAGAAAUAUUUUUAUCUCCAUUACUCUCUAGUCACACCCAGAGUAUAUCUUUGAUUACAACCAGAAAUAUCUCCAUUGAUUAUCUAUUCUAUUACAAGUGACAAAGUCAGUUGAUGCUAUAGUAAUUUAGAAAAGAUUAAUGUAGACUAUAUAAAAAUAGAUUCCUGAUAAUAUAGAAUGUAUAAGCAUAUAAUAUUAGAGCUAGAAGGAAUGAUAUAGAUCAUUUAGUUUUAACUCCUCAUUUUAUAGAUGAGAAAAUGUAGCCCCAGAAAGGAAAAUAUGUUCCCUAAAUCACAGAGUAAAUUUCUGCCAUAUUCAGGCUUAGAACCUAGUUAAUGUCUCUUAGACUAGUAGUCUUGUGGUCUUUUCUUUAAAAGCAUCUGCUUGGAGGCAACUGGGUGGCUCAGUAGAUUGAUAGCUAGGCCUAGGGAUGGGAGAUCUUGGGUUCUAAUCUGACUUCAGACAUGGACCAGCUGUGUGACCCUGCACAAGUUACUUAAUCCCAAUUGACUAGCUCUUACCACUCUUCUGCCUUGGAACACAGAAUUGAUUCUCAAAUGGAAGAUGAGAAAAUGAAGGCCCUAAAAGAUAAAGUGACCGAAUUCCUGAAAAGAGAUCAGGUCAGAUCCUCUCACUACACAUCUGGGUUUCUUUUCCUUCUACCCAUUCAUUGUAUGCCUUUCCUUUG
rnacentral:lncRNA from 1 species